rnacentral:sRNA from 1 species
GUUCAUAUUCUAAAGAGAGCAGGCACUGAGCAAACGUUUAUUGAACUGAACCAAUCUGCUGGUUAUGGGGAUGUGACCUCCACUUCAUCGUGUCGAACUAAACAAACACAUAUUUCUCCAGACAAAUAUUGAAACUGGUGAACUUCAAAAUAAGGUAAAAAGCUCCUAUGUUUCCAUGCCUCAUUAUGUGCUACAAAAAAUUGAAUGAUAAGAACAAGAACAAAUUCCCUUGGUCCAGCACAAAUAGAGGAGGGUUCACUCAUAGGCAGCAUCUGAGCAACAGGCUCACCAGAUAUCAGCCUCUCCACACCGACUCUUCCAAACUCCAGCUCUCUUCAUUAAGAUAUUCUGGAAGCAACUGAGGAGUUUCUACAAACGUCUGGGAAAUUACAACAGUUCAAGUGGAAGUUUGUUUUCCUUUCAGUUAAGGUACGAGCUGUUCUGACUGCCGUGCAGGCAUUCACACGCCCGCUGCUAGAAAGCUGGAGCUGGAAGGAGCACUGGGGCCCGCUGAGUCCUCCUUUCUCAUGUAUGGAUGUGGAUGUGGAGGCAGGCCCUAAGUAUUAGUGUAGGUGCCGACGGUGCAGGUUGACUCACUUAAAGAAGAAUUUGAAUCAUUAUCUAACAGAAAAAAGACCAAUAACAAGCAUUAUUGCUGGAACAUUUUAUGGGUAGACUGCUUUCUAUACAUGAUUGGUGAACAUUGUAUUUCAAUUAAUUAUAUAUCCUGAUAAUAUAUGAAUUAAUACUGUGAUAUCAUGCAUACAAUAACAAUACUCAAUGGAAAUAUAG